rnacentral:misc_RNA from 1 species
UCUCCGUAGGUGAACCUGCGGAGGGAUCAUUACAGAGAUCUCGCCCUCGCGGGUAGAUCUCCCACCCACUGUUAUCGUUACUGUGUUGCUUUGGCGGGCCGCCGGGCCCCGCUCGGCCGCCGGCUCCGGCUGGCGCGCGCCCGCCAGAGGCCCAGCAAACUCUGAAUGUUAGUGUCGUCUGAGUACUAUAUAAUAGUUAAAACUUUCAACAACGGAUCUCUUGGUUCUG